GACGAACGCUGGCGGCGUGCCUAAUACAUGCAAGUAGAACGCUGAAGGAGGAGCUUGCUUCUCUGGAUGAGUUGCGAACGGGUGAGUAACGCGUAGGUAACCUGCCUGGUAGCGGGGGAUAACUAUUGGAAACGAUAGCUAAUACCGCAUAAGAGUAGAUGUUGCAUGACAUUUGCUUAAAAGGUGCAAUUGCAUCACUACCAGAUGGACCUGCGUUGUAUUAGCUAGUUGGUGGGGUAACGGCUCACCAAGGCGACGAUACAUAGCCGACCUGAGAGGGUGAUCGGCCACACUGGGACUGGGACACGGCCCAGACUCCUACGGGAGGCAGCAGUAGGGAAUCUUCGGCAAUGGACGGAAGUCUGACCGAGCAACGCCGCGGGAGUGAAGAAGGUUGUCGGAUCGUAGAGCUCGGUUGUAAGAGAAGAACGAGUGUGAGAGUGGAAAGUUCACACUGUGACGGUAUCUUACCAGAAAGGGACGGCUAACUACGUG
rnacentral:rRNA from 1 species